UCACUCAACACUCUCUCAGAAAGCACCCGUAAUUGAAGACAGUCUCCUGAUCUACAACAGUCAAGGUAUGGAUCCUUCUCUCAUUCUCCUCUAGUUUUGGAACAAUUGAGGUAAGAAUUACAAAUUAUAUGCCUUGAAUUGCUUAAUAGCCAUAUGCUAAACCACUAAGUGUGGGUUCGUAUGACCAUGUUUCAAAGUGAUUAAAUGCCUUCAAAAAUUGAAUGAUGUUCACUUGUGCAGGUACAAAACAAAGAUGGUGCGACCAAUUGAUAGGGAAAAGGAAAAUUUACUUCCACCACAAAGGGGAAGACAUACCUUGUGCCACCCCUAAAGAAGAGAAAGGGGGGAGAACCCACAUCUAGUCCCGCAGAGGGGCUGACAGGAGUUGCAGCAAUGGCAUCCUCACGUUCUAGCCCCCCCAGGUAAUGGGAUAUGGAAUUAAGAUUAUACCACCCCCUCUUAAAGAAUGGUAAAAGCGUUGUCGCUCCAUGUAUAUGCAUCCUGAUAUGACCAUUAAGGAGCGUCACU
rnacentral:lncRNA from 1 species